rnacentral:rRNA from 1 species
AGCAUCUAAGCGCGAAGCAGGCCUCGAGAUGAGUUCUCACUAGACUUUUAAAGUCUCUGAAGGGCCGUUGAAGACUACAACGUUGAUAGGCAGGAUGUGGAAGUGGUGUGAGCCAUUAAGCUAACCUGUACUAAUUACCCGUGAGGCUUAACCAUACAACGCCAAACGCGUUU